CCAGGCGCGGACGCUUGCCAGGGUGACUCCGGGGGCCCACUAGUGUACAACGGGGUGGUGGUGGGGGUGACCUCGUGGGGCGCCGGCUGCGGGAACCCCUCGUACCCGGGGGUCUACGCACGGGUCGCCAGCUACACCACCUGGAUCACCAGCACUGUACAAAGGUACAACGGCGCGCCGACAGUGAGCGUCAACUUCCUCCUGCUAGUCUCCUUGGUGACUUCCAUCAUCCUUACAAAUAAUACCAAAAUGUGAUUCUAAAAUAGUUUAGGGCAAUAAUAAUUUAUGGGGAAUUUGAAAAUUUUAAAUGAACUGUCUUUCCUCUUAAUUAGAAGUUCAAGAUUGGGACACUGGAAUUCCGACUUUUUUGACAAUAACUAGUUACAAAGAGUCGAUUUAUAAACCUACAACUUGUUAUAAAUACAACAAGAAAAUAUGGGUAAUUUUGUAUUUUUUAUAUUAAGUAUAAUACAACAAUGCUUUUUUACGAAA